AAACAUGUUAACAGCUUUUAUUAUUACUGUUGAUGAAGUUUUUUCUCAUUUAAUUUUUUAUUAGCCUACAAUUACAAGUUUCAAAAAAAAGUGCAAAAGUCUUUAAAAAAAAGUCAGCACCACCCAAAAAACGGGGGCAACCCUGCACAGUGUAGAGAUCGAGAAAAUAAUAUUAUUUUAUUUUUAUUUAUAUAUUUUAAUGGUGAGAUACAUCAGCAUAAAUGAUUUGAGUACGCUCCGGCGAGUGGGAAUAAUGUAAAAUAUGAGGAAAUAGGUUUCGGGGUCAAAUGAUUUGUUUUAUAUAUGAAUACGGUCCGUAAAAGUUAAUUUAUGUUUUUUUUAAAUUUUAUUUGGGGUUUCGUGUUUUGUUUGUCACGACGACGCGACGUCGACGACGGCAAAGGCAACAGCAGCAAACAACGUGGAAGUGGAAUACAAAUUGAUGUCAAUGAUUUACAAUGGACGACAACGUGUUUUGAUUAAUUUGAAAUUUUCUGUUUUGCUGCUGUAUGGAAAUUCAAAUUAUAUUCAAGAAGAAGUGUGAUAAUUGUAAGAGGUACUCCAAAUAAAAUUUAAUGCUUAGAUAGUCAAAAAGUAGAUGUUUUGGUGAAACUUUUUUGAUGGUGGUUCAUCGGUUUUAAAUACGAUUUGUAGAUAUGUCAAACAAAAUGCAUCCAUCGUAGUUAAAAUGUUUAUUUGAAAUAAAAACAAUUAGAAAGUA